GGCCUUCUUUUAAUUGAGGAUUCCUGUUUUCACGGAGGGUAUGGAAUGGAGCCCAUUGCUAUUGCUAUGUAGUACGUAUAUGAUUCCAGCAUUUCAGUGGUGGCCUAGACUCUCUAAAGACUGCAUAUCUACACAAAAAAUCUAGAAGAACUUUAUACCGGUUUAUUAUUUGGCCACAUGAUGUAGACUCUAAAUUUUGGACAAACCCUUUUUUUUUAAAAAAAUAAUCAUCUCCAGCCUUACCGGUGAAGAUACCAUCUGCCGUAGGGAAUAAAUAAUUACGGACUAAAUUGUUUUUUUAGUGGGUGGAUUAGGGCAAUCCUUGGUGACAGCGACAAGGGGG
rnacentral:lncRNA from 1 species